CUAAAACACACGCACACGCACUCACUCACACAAAGAGACAUGGAGAUUUUGUUCCAGUUUUGGGAGAGAAACUGUCUCAGUUGUGGUCGGACUUCCUGAUUGGAUGAUGACGGCGGGAAACGCAAAGCCUCAGUGUCAAACGCGUGGAACUCCCAGUCGCAAGGCAGGGCCUGGCGUGCUUUUGCCGGUUGGUCAUCUCCCGUGUGUGAUGCAGGGCAAGGGCUUCCUAGUCGAAAUGAUGAGAGGUCUCCAGGUGGGAAGCAACAUCACGAUCAGCGGAUGAGGCAACCAGACGACGAAGAGGUACGGCAUCCAGACAUGCAAACCGACGAGCAGGGUCAUUUGUCUUCUAACAGGCAACGCUGCCGUAAAUUUAUUUGAUGGUCCGUUUUGGCUGUCAUGCAUCACCGCCAUGUACAUAAAAAGACUAAAACUCCCACUUUGGUCACAUUUGUCUUCUUAUGGUUGCACACAAAAGGCAUCAGAGAAACGUGUCAUAAUUUAGUAAUAUUUCUCAUUUUUGAAUUAAAGUUGAGCUUUACAGAGUAACGUGUCAAAAGCCUUGCUAUUUUUUGUAAUACAAAAAAAGUUUUAUUUGAAAAAGAUCAAAUUGGGUACAUAUGUGGAAAACAAAUGAUUAUUUUUGAAAUUGUUUUAUGUUGUUAUGCUUGCCGAAUAAAACAUGAGUAACUUUGAUCCAAAAAC